rnacentral:rRNA from 1 species
AUUGAACGCUGGCGGCAGGCUUAACACAUGCAAGUCGAACGAGCGGCGGACGGGUGAGUAAUGUCUGGGAAACUGCCUGAUGGAGGGGGAUAACUACUGGAAACGGUAGCUAAUACCGCAUACCAUCAGAUGAACCCAUAUGGGAUUAGCUGGUAGGUAAGGUAACGGCUUACCUAGGCGACGAUCCCUAGCUGGUCUGAGAGGAUGACCAGCCACACUGGGACUGAGACACGGUCCAGACUCCUACGGGAGGCAGCAGUGGGGAAUAUUGGACAAUGGGCGCAAGCCUGAUGCAGCCAUGCCGCGUGUAUGAAGAAGGCCUUCGGGUUGUAAAGUACUUUCAGUCGGGAGGCGUUACCUACAGAAGAAGCACCGGCUAACUCCGUGCCAGCAGCCGCGGUAAUAC